ensembl:lncRNA
GGGGAUGUUAUGCUAUCACAGCGUUUGAUCACCGGCAUCACGGGAACACAGGUAUCAGAGAGAGACUCGUAUCUCUCACAGCUGUUCAGAUUCUGUCGUGGGGCUUGUUUAGAUAUUGGUGUAAAUGGGAUGAGGAAGAUUUAACUUUGAAGAUAUGAGAUUAAUUAUUUUUUCUUCCCCCUUCUGAUCUCUUUCAAAAGCUGUGCACUGUGAGUCUGAGCAUUUUUUUUUUUUUUGGCUUUUUUUUGCUUUUUUUUAAUGAAAUAAAUGGUAGAGGCAAAUAAAUUUGCAUGACUCAACAGAAAAAAUAUUUUCCAGAGCUCUGUGUGUUAAUAGGCUUCACAGUACAAUUACUUGGCCUGUACAUAAUGGAAGUGCAAUCAAUGUAUGGAUCCUGCCCCCUACUGUCAAUGAUGGAAAUGGCAUCUAUAAUCAAUUAGUGGUGACUCAAUGUUAGAGGGCUGCAGGCUAACAGCGAUUAACAAAAACUUUCCUUUUUGGUGGGGGAGAUUUGUUGUCCAUUGCCGCCAAUUAUCUCACAUGUUACAACACACUGGGGUUUGCUUUCGAUAUUUUGUUGCUGGUUUAUUUUCAGCAUGUCUGCUUCAUUGUUUCAAGGAGCACAAAGCACAGAUCAUUUUCUUCAGUUGUAGUAUUUUUAUUAUCAGCUCCUCAUUGUUAUUUCCUCUUUCUCUCAUAGAAACCCCCCCACCCUGGAACCAGUGCAGGCCUCAUGUUAUAUUCAGGGAACACAGCAACCUCUUCUGGCCAAAAGUGAACGCAGCAGAGAGUCUGUGCUGAAGCCAGAAUAUAACAAGUCCCGGCAGUGGUAGGCGCUGUUCCCGACCCAUGGAGGGCUGCAUCAGUACCAUGGCAGGAUUGUGAUGGGAGUGUCCUUUGAUGGAUGUUGGCCAGAUGAGCUCUGGCACUCUCCCAACCUCAGCCACCAUGAACACAGCAAGGAAACGUUUCAAAGUUGGAAUCCUGAUACUUCUCAGUGGGAAAAUAUCUGAAAAGAACUGACUGUCAGUCAAUGUAGGUAUGGAGGAGAUCAAAACUCCAGACAUCCAGAGGCCCCCAGAACACAAGAGACCAAGGAAGACCCACAGAGGGGCAGCGGCGCCACUGUCCCAGUAAGAGCUAAGGAGAGUCCCAGAUGAGAGCUCAUUCAGCAGCCGCGGAGCAGAAGCCAGGGGGAGUUGCAGUGACGCGCCUGUGAGCUCCGCCGGCAGCCAGCUGUGCCUGAGUGACCGAGCCCCAGGCCGAGAGGCCGGGGGCACCCCACCUCCAUGAGGAUUCGUUCUAAAGAAAGCAGAUAUAUUUACUGCAAAACUUUAAACCUGUGGGUGCUAAAAGUUGUUAUUAAGUUCAACAGUCGAAGUGAAUGGGCUUAUCUGCAUUCUUUCCUGUGGUCACACGUUCUUGGUGUCAACUGAAAAAAAAGAUCAAGGAUGUAAAAACUCACAGGUUUUCCAAACUAUCAGAACAUUGGAGAUGUCAUCAGAUCAUCCAGAGACAGACAGAUGCCCUGGUCAUGCCACACAUGACAAGAAGAGCUGCUGCUGCUACAUUGCAAGCCCCAAUCUGAGCAGCAAUGACCCUCCUGGGAGUGAUGGAAAACUCACCUGCUGAUGUGACGGUCCAGCUGGAACAUCCACUCGACAAAGGUGUUACUUUCCUGUUGAAACACAGACAGGGAGGAAGCAACUGUUUGCUCCUCCUGUCGUACGCCAGCAUGCCCUGAGCAUAGCAUGAGGCAAACUGUGUGUUAUAACUGCAUGUAUGGUGUGUUUACCUUUAGCUGUGUUUAGUUUUUUCCAUUCCCUGUACAACCAUGGUUGGUGAUCUCUGCCAGGGCUGCCAUUUGUCUCUGAUUCUUUUUAUAACUUUUAGGACAAUAAUUUCUAGGUGUAGCCAAAGGGUGGAGGCUGGUUUAAGGAUAUGAUCUCUGUUUUUCUCAGAUGAUGUGGUUUUGUUGGUUUUACACUGGGGCAUUUUCCAGCCAAAUGUGAAGUAUAUGGGAUGAGAAUUAGCAUCUCCAAGUCUGAAGCUAUGGUUCUCUGUUGGCAACGAGUGGAGCACUGAUUCAGGGUUUGAACUGCUGCCCCAAAUGGAGUAGUUUAAGUAAGAGUAGUUUAAAUAAGUAUUACUGAUGAUGACACUGCGCUGGUUGGUUGUGGUGAAGAGAGAGCUGAGCACGAAUGUGAAUCUGGUGAUUUAACAGUUGAUCUGUGUUCUUGCCCGCCCCUGUGGUCACAGGUUCUGGGUAUCAACUGAAAAGAAAGAUCAAGGAUGCAAGCAGCAGAAAUGAUUUUUCUCUCAAGGGUGUUGGAAAUAGAGGCAUUUGGCCAUUUAGGAGUCACUCAGAGUAGAGCCACUACUUCUCCUCAUCGAAAGGUGUUUUGGGCAUGCAAUGGAGGUCCCAAGUACACGCUGGAGAGAUUAUAUGCCCAAGCUGGCCAGUUGCAUAUUUAUUUCAGUUAUUGUAUAUUUGACUGAUAUAAUCCACGAAUCCAAGACAAAUAGUGUUUAAUUGAAAUUAUUUUUAAAAAUUGUGAUACUUCAAUAGACAAAAGCUAAAUAAGCUGAUAAAUAACAAUGUAGUUUGUAUUUGUAAAUCUGAAAGUAAUAUUACAUAAACUGUGCAAAAAUACUGGCAGAUAAUAAAAAAGCUACUCUUUUUUCUUCUUUAGAUUACAUUAAUUACAUAAUUAAUAAGACUUUAAGAAGAAAUAAGGUUUGCUAUUAUUAUUUUGGUGUUAUAUUUAAUUUCAUACAGUAAAUUGUUCUUGGAUACCUCCAUCGGUCGUCCACGUAUGUUAACUAUGUCAGUAGGAUGAGUGUUAACAAAUUAAAGGUGGGUCUGUGGCUGAGUAGGAACAACCCACACACACCAUACCCUGCUACAUCUUGCAACUUUCUUUUCUUAACUCUUAUUUUGCAUUUUGGCAGCAUAUACAUUUGACUUGCAAAACAGACCUAAUUACAGGGCCUGCAGUAUGCAAGCCACACAUCAAACAUUAAGUUACAGUAGAAGCCUGUGAUCCCAGUCACAUACUCUCUCCCUCUUUUUUUCUUCUGCCCUCCCUUGCCUCUGCACACCAGAAACACUGAUUGUAACAGGGACAUUAAAGGGGAAUUACAGCGAAACAAUUUACACUUAAUGUAGCAGUCGUAUGAACGGGGAAGAAAGAUGGACAAAGAUAUAGCCGUAUUAAUAAUACAUGUUUUAAUUAAGCAGCUGGGAAUGCAAGGAGCAGGAUCAAGGGAACAGACAGACAAUGAAAGAAGAACUCGAAAGGAGGGAAGCGGUGAGAGAAAGACGGACGAAGAAAAAGAACUGAAAAUGAGAGAGCGAAUGACAGAGAAAGAGUAAAACAAAGCGGAGCAUAAAAAGUAGAGGAGGGAGGAGGAUUGGAAUAUGGUGCUGCGCGUUUCCUGCAAACCGUGAUUCAUGGGCAGUAAAUAUGCAAAGCCUGAUGGCCAUAAGGCAAUCAGAGGAGCGCCACUCAUCUACAUGUUGCACAGUGGGCUAUAAUCCAUCUGAGGGGCAAGGAAUAAUGAUACCAGGAAGCAGGAAUAAGAGCAGGGUCUGUUUAUUACCUCAGACAGAUCCAUAAUGCAUACAGAUGUGAGGGAGGCACACAGCUGCCUCUGGCCAGAGAACUCUAUUGAAAAGUAGAGACAGUAAUAUUGUGUUUAGUGUAAUGAAAGACAAUCUGAUUGAAGCACCUAUUAAGGCAAAUAAGACUGCUGUCGUAUGAGGUUUAAGUGCUGGAGCUGUAACGAUCACUGACAGGGUGGAGAAGAGCUGGGGUGGAUACCAAAGGAGCAGGAGGCUCCGAUCCAACACCUCAAAGGCAACAGCAAGGUCACCAAUAAAUAACAUGGGUAAUGCAAUAUGAAUGUGCACUCGUGCAAAGUGAAAUGUAAGGUAAUAAUAUGGUCCAAAUAUGCACAUUUAAGACCUUGCUCGCUGUUAAGAGCAUACCAGCGCAGAUAAAAUGUAUGACCGGCAAUAAAGCAGUAAUUUGAAUUCUUUGGUGUCAUUGUGUUUACUUUUCUUUAUUUGCAAAGACACCCCCACAUUCACACUCACUCUUGAACACAAAGGCCUUCUUCCCCGUCUUCUCACAGAGGACAUUAACACCAGGAUCCUAGUGGUGCUAGAGUAAAGUAAUAAAUUGUGUUGAACAUUGAUAAACUAAUGCAAUUACCUGCAGGGCAAGCCAGUCAGCUAAUUUAAAGAUACCAGGUUUGUUCAUGGGGUGGGAGGCACCGAAUAGGCCCCAAGGGUGAAAGAUGGCGCCUUUAUUACAUCUGAGAGGUCAGCUUGGUAGCAGUGUAUUAGGAUUGAUCUUUUGAUCCCAGCCUGGAACCCACCCCCUCCAAAAAAUGUACCAACCCCAUAUGGCUGAGGAAAAACACAGCUUAUCUGGCGCAAAGGGUUAACUCUGCCAGCCAGGCAGCCUAAUUGAGCGCCACACAUCUCAGCUACACAGCAGAAACAGGAACCUGG